rnacentral:rRNA from 1 species
CCUACGGGUGGCAGCAGUGAGGAAUAUUGCACAAUGGGCGAAAGCCUGAUGCAGCAACGCCGCGUGAGCGAUGAAGGCCUUCGGGUCGUAAAGCUCUGUCCUCAAGGAAGAUAAUGACGGUACUUGAGGAGGAAGCCCCGGCUAACUACGUGCCAGCAGCCGCGGUAAUACGUAGGGGGCUAGCGUUAUCCGGAAUUACUGGGCGUAAAGGGUGCGUAGGUGGUUUCUUAAGUCAGAGGUGAAAGGCUACGGCUCAACCGUAGUAAGCCUUUGAAACUGGGGAACUUGAGUGCAGGAGAGGAGAGUGGAAUUCCUAGUGUAGCGGUGAAAUGCGUAGAUAUUAGGAGGAACACCAGUUGCGAAGGCAGCAUACCGGCGCCCGACUGACGCUGAGGCACGAAAGCGUGGGGAUCGAACAGGAUUAGAUACCCUAGUAGUC